rnacentral:rRNA from 1 species
UACGGGGGGUGCGAGCGUUGUCCGGAAUCACUGGGCGUAAAGGGCGCGUAGGUGGUUUGAUAAGGGUGUGGUGAAAGUCCGGGGCUCAACCCCGGAUCUGCCGUGCCGACUGUCAAACUCGAGGACUGUAGAGGCAGACGGAAUUCCAGGUGUAGCGGUGAAAUGCGUAGAUAUCUGGAGGAACACCGGUGGCGAAGGCGGCAUCCUGGACCGAGAUUGACGCUGAGGCGCGAAAGCCAGGGGAGCAAACGGG